UACAGAGGGGGCAGGCGUUAUUCGGAAUGACUGGGCGUAAAGGGUACGUAGUCGGAAGUUAUCUAUCAUUUUGUGAAAUUCUUAGAUUUAACCUAAGGAGGGCUAAUGAGAUGAUACUAGCUUAGGUGAGCUUGAGUUCAGUCGAGGUCUGGGGAAUUUUCAGUGUAGGGGUAGAAUCUGUAGAUCCUGGAAAGAACAUCGGUGGCGAAGGCGCUUUUCCAAAUUGAACUGACGAUGAGGUACGAAAGUUUGGGUAUCGAAUCAG
rnacentral:misc_RNA from 1 species